AAUUAAACUUGGCAAACCUGCCGAAAGGCAGCGACGCAAAGCUAUAGGGCCUUAACUGGUAACCAGCUGCAUUCUCCGCAAGGGGGGCAGCCGGCUGUUUUU
rnacentral:ncRNA from 1 species